CAUCCUCGAAUGGAAUCUAAUGAAAUCACCGAAUGGACACGAAUGGAAUCAUCCAAUGGAUUUGAGUGGAAUCAUCAUUGAAUGGAAUCGAAUGGAAUCAUCAAAUGGACUCGAAUGGAAUCAUCUUCGAAUGGAAUCGAAUGAAAUCACAAUCGAAUGGAAUGGAAUGGAGUCAUCAUCUAAUGGAGUCGAAUGGAAUCAUCAUUGAAUAUAAUAGAAUGGAGUCACCAUAUUGAAUCAAAUGGAGAGAUCAUCGAAUGGAAUUGAAGGGAAUCAUCGAAUAGGAAUGAAAGGAGUCAUCAAAUGGAAUUGGGUGGAAUCAUCAAAUGGAUUCAAAUGGAAUGAUCAUCAAAUGGAAUUGAAUGGUAUCAUCGAAUGGACUCGAAUGGAAUCAUCAUCAAAUGGAACCAAAUGGAAUCAUCGAAUGGACACGAAUGCAAUCAUCAUUGAGUGGAAUCAAAUGGAAUCAUUGAAUGGCAUCGAAAGGAAUCAUCAUCGAAUGUAGUCUAAUUAAAUAACCGAAUGGACUCAAAUAGAAUCAUCGAAUCAAGUCGAAUGGAAUCAUCAUCGAAUGGAAUCCAAUGGAAUCAUCGAAUAGCAUCAAAUGGAAUCAUCGUCAAAUGGAUUCAAAUGGAAUCAUCGAAUGGACUCGAAUGGAAUCCUCAUGGAAUAUAAUCGAAUGGAAUCUUCGAAUUGACUCGAAUGGAAUCAUCAUAGAAUGGAAUCUAAUGGAAUCAUCGAAUGGAAUCGAAUGGAAUCAUCAUUGAAUGGAAUCGAGUAGAAUCAUUGAAUGAAAUCGAAUGGAAUCAUCAUCGAAUGCAAUCGGGUGGAAUCAUCAAUGAAUGGAAUCGAAUGGAAUCACAGAAUGGAAUCCAAUGUAAUCAUCUUCGAAUUGAAAACAAAGCAAUCAUUAAAUGUACUCUAAUGGAAUCAUCGAAUGGACUCGAAUGGAACCAUCGUUGAAUGGAAUAUAAUGGAAUCAUCGAAUGCAAUCGAAUGGAAUCAUCGAAUGGACUCGAAUGGAAUCAUCA
rnacentral:lncRNA from 1 species